rnacentral:rRNA from 1 species
AUUGAACGCUGGCGGCAUGCCUUACACAUGCAAGUCGAACGGCAGCGCGGGUGCUUGCACCUGGUGGCGAGUGGCGAACGGGUGAGUAAUACAUCGGAACGUACCUUAUUGUGGGGGAUAACGCAGCGAAAGCUGUGCUAAUACCGCAUACGCCCUGAGGGGGAAAGCGGGGGAUCGCAAGACCUCGCGCGAUUAGAGCGGCCGAUGCCUGAUUAGCUUGUUGGUGGGGUAAAAGCCCACCAAGGCGACGAUCAGUAGCUGGUCUGAGAGGACGAUCAGCCACACUGGGACUGAGACACGGCCCAGACUCCUACGGGAGGCAGCAGUGGGGAAUUUUGGACAAUGGGGGCAACCCUGAUCCAGCAAUGCCGCGUGAGUGAAGAAGGCCUUCGGGUUGUAAAGCUCUUUUGUCAGGGAAGAAACACCGGCUCUAACACAGUCCGGGAAUGACGGUACCUGAAGAAUAAGCACCGGCUAACUACGUGCCAGCCGCCGCAGUAA